rnacentral:rRNA from 1 species
AGCGAACGUUUGCGGCGGGCUUAACACAUGCAAGUCGAACGGGCUGUUCCUUCGGGGGCAGUCAGUGGCGCACGGGUGCGUAACACGUAGGUAAUCAACCCUCUGGUUGGGGAUAACACUUCGAAAGGAGUGCUAGUACCCGGUAUGGCGCAGCGGUCUUCGGAUCGCGGCGAGAAAGACCCGCAAGGGUUGCCAGAGGACGAGCCUGCGGCCCAUCAGCUAGUUGGCGAGGUAACGGCUCACCAAGGCGAAGACGGGUAGCUGGUCUGAGAGGAUGAUCAGCCACACUGGAACUGAGACACGGUCCAGACUCCUACGGGAGGCAGCAGUGGGGAUAUUGCGCAAUGGGCGAAAGCCUGACGCAGCCACGCCGCGUGAGCGAUGAAGGCCUU